GACGAACGCUGGCGGCGUGCUUAUCACAUGCAAGUCGAACGAAGUGGCGAACGGGUGAGUAACGCGUAAUCAACCUGCCCUUCAGAGGGGGACAACAGUUGGAAACGACUGCUAUUACCGCAUACCUACGGAGGGGACUGCGUCGGACUAGCUAGUUGGAGGGGUAACGGCCCACCAAGGCGAGGAUCAGUAGCCGGGCUGGGGGGAUGAACGGCCACAUUGGGACGGAGACACGGCCCAGACUCAUACUGGAGGCAGCAGUGGGGAAUCUUCCGCAAUGGACGAAAGUCUGACGGAGCAACGCCGCGUGAGUGAUGACGGCCUUCGGGUUGUAAAGCUCUGUUAAUCGGGACGCGGUACCGGAAUAGAAAGCCACGGCUAACUACGUGCCAGCAGCCGCGGUAAUUC
rnacentral:rRNA from 1 species